rnacentral:rRNA from 1 species
UACGGAGGGUGCAAGCAUUAAUCGGAAUUAUUGGGCGUAAAGGGCGCGUAGGCGGAGAUAUAAGUCAGAUGUGAAAUUCCGGAACUCAAUUUCGGAGCUGCAUUUGAAACUAUAUUUCUCGAGGAUUGGCGGAGAGAACGGAAUUCCACGUGUAGCGGUGAAAUGCGUAGAUAUGUGGAAGAACACCGGUGGCGAAAGCGGUUCUCUAGCUAAAACCUGGCGCUGAGGCGCGAGAGCAAGGGGAUCAAACAGG